GACGAACGCUGGCGGCGUGCUUAACACAUGCAAGUCGAACGGCAAGGCCCUGCUUUUGUGGGGUGCUCGAGUGGCGAACGGGUGAGUAACACGUGAGUAACCUGCCCUUGACUUUGGGAUAACUUCAGGAAACUGGGGCUAAUACCGGAUAGGAGCUCCUGCUGCAUGGUGGGGGUUGGAAAGUUUCGGCGGUUGGGGAUGGACUCGCGGCUUAUCAGCUUGUUGGUGGGGUAGUGGCUUACCAAGGCUUUGACGGGUAGCCGGCCUGAGAGGGUGGACGGCCACCUUGGGCCUGCGAUACGGCCCAGACUCCUACGGGAGGCAGCAGUGGGGAGUAUUGCACAAUGGGCGGAAGCCUGAUGCAGCAACGCCGCGUGCGGGAUGACGGCCUUCGGGUUGUAAACCGCUUUCGCCUGUGACGAAGCGUGAGUGACGGUAAUGGGUAAAGAAGCACCGGCUAACUACGUG
rnacentral:rRNA from 1 species